CUCCAGAACAUAAGGGCGAAG
rnacentral:miRNA from 1 species